rnacentral:rRNA from 1 species
UACGGAGGGUGCAAACGUUGCUCGGAAUUAUUGGGCGUAAAGCGCACGUAGGCGGUCUGUUAAGUCGGAUGUGAAAGCCCCGGGCUCAACUCGGGAAGUGCAUUCGAAACUGGCAGGCUUGAAUAUGGAAGAGGGUCGCGGAAUUCCCGGUGUAGAGGUGAAAUUCGUAGAUAUCGGGAGGAACACCGGUGGUGUAGACGGCUUUCUGGACCGUAACUGACGCUGAGACACGAAAGCGUGGGUAGCAAACAGG